UUCGCGGGGACACAUUUCUCCGGGGUACAGAUUAUGGCAUAACACCUGUAAAGAGUCCGUGUUGAAACUCAUUUGAAGAUGAGUGCCCUGCCUCUUUUCGCCACGCCAAACCUACUUCCUGGUGGAUGAGGCAGCUUCUCCGUGUUGUCGUAGUAAAGUAAGCGGGGGCAGCUGAAGUGAAGGUGGAGGCGGCUGUCGGUGGUCUGAACUCGCGGUGCAGCAGUUAGGUAGUUAGCACAUUCUUGUCGCGCGCGUGUGUUUUUUCCACCUUUGAAGAAAAAAAAAUGGGCAGCACGGUGAUGGAGUCCAGCAAGCACAGCUCAAAGAAAAUGCCAAAGAAGAGGAGAAGUCUGCGGAUUAACAUGCCAGACUUUGGUGCAUUUGCUUCCCCACAAGUGGAGACGAGCAGCUCAACCAAAAGUGGCGCUCAGACGGGAGAGCGUCUCAUCCGCUCAGCCAGCCCCACCACAGGAGUGUCUGCGAGGAGCCCUCCCAGCGUCCCGCUGCUCCCGGGCCCUCACUCAGCUCCAGUGCAGUCGAAGAUGAGCUCAGGUUCACCCAAAACCCUCUUCCCCUAUGCCUCCCACCAGAGCUCCCCACCCAAGUCCCCCCGCCGCCUCAGCUUCAGUGGUAUCUUCCGCUCGUCAUCAAAUGCAACACCUGCAAGCAUCAAAAUCUUCUCCAGAACCAGGAGAGCCUCGGGACUCUCCACGCCACCCACCACCCCGACCCAGGUGUCCAGCCAACCUGUGUUCACCCAGGAGGCCCAGUCGAGCGGGCCCAGCCCUGAGCGCUCGGAGCCAACCACCCGAUCCCGCUCCCUCUCCACGCCUCCAGACACAGGGCAGCGACUCAGCCUCCCCUCUGCUAAACCCCCGAUCCCUUCCUCGAGCCCUGUGCCAUCUUACUCUACCUCACAACAAGUCUACGGUUUAUUCGAAGGCAUGCUGGAGAAACUUGAACUAGAUGAUGAUGCUGCUGAACCUGAGAGUGAUAUUUACAUGCGCUUUAUGAAAUCCCACAAGUGCUACGACAUCGUCCCCACGAGCUCCAAGUUGGUCGUGUUCGACACAGCGCUCCAAGUUAAGAAAGCAUUCUUCGCCUUGGUAGCAAACGGUGUGCGAGCUGCACCGCUGUGGGACACAGAGAAGCAAAGCUUUGUGGGAAUGCUGACAAUCACAGAUUUCAUCAUCAUACUACACAGAUACUACAAGUCACCAAUGGUGCAAAUUUAUGAAUUAGAGGAACAUAAGCUUGAGACGUGGAGAGAGGUUUACCUUCAAGCAACAUUCAAACCUCUGGUCAACAUAUCGCCCGAUGCAAGCCUAUUUGACGCUGUGUACACCCUCAUCAAAAACAAAAUUCACCGCCUGCCUGUCAUCGACCCUGUCACGGGGAAUGCACUUUAUAUUCUCACACACAAGAGGAUCCUCAAGUUCCUCCAGCUCUUUAUGUGUGAAAUGCCAAAGCCGGCUUUCAUGAAGCAGACUCUUGGGGAGCUGGGCAUUGGUACGUACCACGACAUUGCUUUCAUCCACCCGGACACACCCAUCAUCAAAGCACUCAACAUCUUUGUGGAGAGACGAGUGUCUGCUUUGCCAGUGGUGGAUGACUCAGGCAAAGUUGUGGAUAUUUACUCCAAGUUUGAUGUGAUUAACUUGGCAGCUGAGAAGGCAUACAACAACCUGGACAUCACAGUGACGCAGGCCCUGAAACAUCGCUCUCAGUACUUCGAAGGAGUCGUGAAGUGCCAUAAAAUGGAAACAAUGGAGACCAUUGUGGACAGAAUAGUCAAAGCUGAAGUGCACCGGUUGGUGGUGGUGGACGAGCGCUCCAGCAUCGAGGGCAUCGUCUCCCUGUCGGACAUCCUCCAGGCCCUGGUGCUCAGCCCUGCAGGUAUAGAUGCUCAGCAUUGCUAGCCCCCAACUCCCCUUCUGUCCUGGACCCUGAGCUCUCUCCCCCCUCCACCUGCCCUCUAACUCUGCCCCAGAUGCCUGUAAGGAGGAGAACCUGACUGGGUGAGAGGGGGAAGGAGGUGUUGGCAGAAGCGGAGACGUGGCAGGAGUAAAUAAGUUUGAAGGUUGAGGUAAGGGAGCAUGAGGCUGAGCGGAGCCGCUCUGAGGGUCCCAGAGACGCCUGCAACUGAUGCACUAUAGAGGCUUGGAAACCAAAGAGCUAGACAGCUGAGUGAAGUGGAGUCCCUGCACUGAGGAUUUAUUUUUUUCCUUUGUUUGUUUGUUUGAACACUGAUCAGAUGCACACACAUACAUUAAAAUGUAUAUACAUAUACACAAACUUAUACACACAUACCGAGAGAUGCAUUACGGUUGCCUGCCGGGUGGAAAAGGUGGGAAUGUCGAGACGGGUUCUCAUGGAUUGGGGCUUCAGUGUUUCAGGUUGUAUAGUUCUGAUCAUGCUGCUGUCACCAGUCGAUUUUGGUCACAUUUAGCGGCUGAUGCUGAGUGUUAACACCUGCAGGAAAAUGACUUUUCCCUCAGUAUUCGCUGUAGAAAGACAAACAUGCACAGAUGCAACUUAUUGUUUGGUAGCAAAACUGCACUUCACCUACAAUGUGGCCAUUUAAUGAAAAGCAGUUUGCCAGUGCCAAUAUGGAGCGCUCAGUGCCCAGUCUUUAUCUGUGUCUUUUGUUUGCCCCGCCCACACCCAUUUAACACUGACAGUAUUCGCCUCUUUUGAAUUUUUGUUGAACAGUGCAAUCAUUUGGUAUUUUAAAGAAACAGUCACAGUAUUGAUAUGUAAUGAUGAAUUAGUUGGCAAAAUGCACCUUCAACUUGUAUUUCAUAAUAGAGUCUCCUGUAUUUGGCUACAUUUUCUGUGACUAAAAUUCAAAACCAUAUCUGAAGUGUUAAGAAUACUUACUCUGAAAAUUAUCCUAAAUAAAAUCUAAAUCAUUUUUGACACAACAUGCAGUGGUCAGAGGCAAAUAUAACUGUACAUUAAUAAGGAUUCUGUAAGCCAAGAACCAUGAGUGAGUACGUCUCAUUCAAUUUACUUUAUUGUGACUUAAAGAUGCAUAUUUGGAGUGGUAUGACAAGACUGAAAAUGUCUUUUUAGAUUUAAAAAAAACAUUUUUUUUAACCUUUUUUUGUUUUUUGAGUGGUUUUGUUGCUUCAGAUAAUCUGAUACUCACAACCAUGCAAACCAAACUCAGUUAUCUCAGCUGUACAGGUGGACAGGACUCAUCUCUCAUCUCCGACUGUAAAUAGGAUCGUUUUUCGGGAAACGUGUCACAGAAAGCUUUAUUUUUAUGAAUGUGUCAACAUGUUUAAAAGAGACUGCAGUUUUAAUGUUAUUUUUGUAAAUAUAUUGUGGCAAUAUGUCCAGUACCAGAGAAACUUUGUAUCAGAUCAACAUGUACUGUAAAUGUGCAAGCAUGAGAAACUACACUUCAGCAGUAUGAAUGUUCUUUGUUUUACUUUUUCUAUUUUUCUGGCUGCAGAAAAAUAAACGGACACUGAAUGUACUUUAAA